rnacentral:rRNA from 1 species
GUGCCAGCCGCCGCGGUAAUACGGAAGGUCCGGGCGUUAUCCGGAUUUAUUGGGUUUAAAGGGAGCGCAGGCGGGAUAUUAAGCGUGACGUGAAAUGCAGGUGCUCAACAUCUGCCCUGCGUCGCGAACUGGUAUUCUUGAGUGAGUACGAUGUAGGCGGAAUUCGUGGUGUAGCGGUGAAAUGCUUAGAUAUCACGAAGAACCCCGAUUGCGAAGGCAGCCUACAAGUCCUUUACUGACGCUAAAGCUCGAAGGUGCGGGUAUCGAACAGGAUUAGAUACCUGGUAGUCCGCACGGUAAACGAUGGAUGCCCGCUGUUGGCGAUACAUUGUCAGCGGCCAAGGGAAACCGUUAAGCAUCCCACCUGGGGAGUACGCCGGCAACGGUGAAACUCAAAGGAAUUGACGGGGGCCCGCACAAGCGGAGGAACAUGUGGUUUAAUUCGAUGAUACGCGAGGAACCUUACCCGGGCUUGAACUGCCGGCGAACGAUCCAGAGAUGGUGAGGUCCUUCGGGACGCCGGUGGAGGUGCUGCAUGGUUGUCGUCAGCUCGUGCCGUGAGGUGUCGGCUUAAGUGCCAUAACGAGCGCAACCCCUUUCGUCAGUUGCCAUCAGGUGAUGUUGGGCACUCUGGCGACACUGCCACCGUAAGGUGCGAGGAAGGUGGGGAUGACGUCAAAUCAGCACGGCCCUUACGUCCGGGGCUACACACGUGUUACAAUGGGGUAUACAGAGAGUCGGCCGUUCGCAAGUGCGGUCCAAUCAUGAAAGUGCCCCUCAGUUCGGAUUGGGGUCUGCAACCCGACCCCAUGAAGCUGGAUUCGCUAGUAAUCGCGCAUCAGCCAUGGCGCGGUGAAUACGUUCCCGGGCCUUGUACACACCGCCCGU